CCUACGGGAGGCAGCAGUGGGGGAUAUUGCACAAUGGAGGAAACUCUGAUGCAGCGACGCCGCGUGAGGGAAGACGGUCUUCGGAUUGUAAACCCCUUUUUUUGGGGAAGAAAAUGACGGUACCCAAAGAGUAAGCCCCGGCUAACUCCGUGCCAGCCGCCGCGGUAAUACGUAGGGAGCGAGCGUUGUCCGGAAUUACUGGGUGUAAGGGGAGCGUAGGCGGGCGAGAAAGUUGAAUGUUAAAUCUACCGGCUUAACCGGUAGCUGCGUUCAAAACUUCUUGUCUUGAGUUAAGUAGAGGCAGGCGGAAUUCCUAGUGUAGCGGUGAAAUGCGUAGAUAUUAGGAGGAACACUAGUGGCGAAGGCGGCCUGCUGGGCUUUAACUGACGCUGAGGCUCGAAAGCGUGGGGAGCAAACAGGAUUAGAUACCCUGGUAGUC
rnacentral:rRNA from 1 species